rnacentral:rRNA from 1 species
AUGUUUGAUUUUUUUAUUUAGGGUGGGGUAGAAUAGGAGAGCAGUGGGUGGGUGGAGAGAGAGGGACACGAGGAGUUAGUUCAGAUGUGCGGAGGGCAAGAUCGGGCGGCGGCGUGGUAGAGGAGGGGCCGUGGUGGCGUGAUGAGGGAGGGGCGCGGCACCGUGGUUGGGGAGGGGCACGGCGGCGUGGUAGAAGAGGGGACGUGAUGGUGUGGUGGAGUGAGGGGCACGGCACCGUUGUGGGGGAGGGGCGCGGCGGCGUGGUAGAAGAGGGUUCGUGGUGGCGUGGUGGAGUGAGAGGCGCGGCACCGUGGUGGUGGAGGGGCGCGGCGGUGUGGGAGAGGUUGGUGGAGGGAGGAACCCGGUGGACGGGGGCGCAGUCGGUCGGUAGCUUAGACGGGGUAGUGGUAGGAGGGUGCUGAUGGGCUACUGUCUAGGCCAACAUCGGCAGGACCCCCGCAAUCGUUACCGGCUGAGGUUCCUAACCUCCCCAAUGCAACUCGAACCCCCAGCGGCCUCUGGGUGGGGAGGUGGGGACGGGUCUAGGUAGUCCAGACCGUCGUGAGGGCGUAGCUACGUCGAGUGAAGCAGGUAUACCCACAAAAAAACCUAGCUUUACGUCGAGUGAAGCGGGUCAAAGGCCUUGUCGUACUCGCACGCCCGCAGGGACGGGACGUCGGUCCGCUGUCGUGGGCACGUCAGGUGUUUGCUCCGGCACUUCAACUUCUCGCUGGCCACUCCACCGGGAAAGGUCGCUCUUUUAGUACGUCACGACAGCUCACACCGCACGUCACGUUGAGCGGAGCCGCACGUCAGAUGCCGAGAGUGGACGUCGAGAGAGGAUGUGAAGAACAAACGUGCGCCGCCCUCUGUUCACGUGACGUGAUACCACCGGCCGGCGUAUUAAUAAAGAAAUCAUCAAGUAGAAACGACAAACAAAAUCAAAGUGGUACAAACACCAAGGGAAUACCGUAGAGCAUCAUGCAUAACGUAUAUGUACGUCAAAAAAGAUUACGCUUCUAUUGUUAUAUUACCACAUUGUCUUUUCAAGAUCUUGUUUUCUUGUGUUUAUCAAUUUUAUUACGUCAAGUGAUCAGAACAGAUGAUCAAACCUGCAUCAUUAUCUUUUCCAAAUGGCCUCCCGACUACACGGGCCGUCGCGGCGGUACGUCAAGCGACCGCUACGGUCUCUACGGCGCCUGCGCUCGCCAACUCUACCGGGACCACACGGCGAGUCUACCCGCCGCACGUGUUAAGUCAAUCUUUAAAAGAAAAAAUUUUGAUAAGUUCCUAUACAGGUUCGACCACGUCCAAAGACUAAAUAACGUCGAGCCAACCAGGGGUUUUAUGUCAAGACGACUAGGAGAUAACGUCGAGACCGUCCACGAUCACGACUAAAACACACAUACAUACACACACACCGACACAUUUUGUUGACUACCUACGUAACACGGGUACUUGUAGUAGUCGCUGGUAUCUGUCACCGCGUUAUAUCUUUCAUGAAACC